rnacentral:rRNA from 1 species
GAUGAACGCUGACAGAAUGCUUAACACAUGCAAGUCGACUCGAGUCUUCGGACUUGGGUGGCGCACGGGUGAGUAACGCGUAAAGAACUUGCCUCUUAGACCGGGACAACAUCUGGAAACGGAUGCUAAUACCGGAUAUUAUGGUUUUUUCGCAUGGAGGAAUCAUGAAAGCUAGAUGCGCUAAGAGAGAGCUUUGCGUCCCAUUAGCUGGUUGGUGAGGUAACGGCCCACCAAGGCAAUGAUGGGUAGCCGGCCUGAGAGGGUGAACGGCCACAAGGGGACUGAGACACGGCCCUUACUCCUACGGGAGGCAGCAGUGGGGAAUAUUGGACAAUGGGCCGCAAGUCUGAUCCAGCAAUUCUGUGUGCACGAUGACGUUUUUCGGAAUGUAAAGUGCUUUCAGUCGGGAAGAAGUCAGUGACGGUACCGACAGAAGAAGCGACGGCUAAAUACGUGCCAGCAGCCGCGGUAAUACGUAUGUCGCAAGCGUUAUCCGGAUUUAUUGGGCGUAAAGCGCGUCUAGGCGGCAAGGAAAGUCUGAUGUGAAAAUGCGGAGCUCAACUCCGUAUGGCGUUGGAAACUGCCUUACUAGAGUACUGGAGAGGUAGGCGGAACUACAGUGUAGAGGUGAAAUUCGUAGAUAUUUGUAGGAAUGCCGAUGGGGAAGCCAGCCUACUGGACAGAUACUGACGCUAAAGCGCGAAAGCGUGGGUAGCAAACAGG